rnacentral:rRNA from 1 species
AUUGAACGCUGGCGGCAGGCCUAACACAUGCAAGUCGAGCGAGCGGCGGACGGGUGAGUAAUGUAUGGGGAUCUGCCCGAUAGAGGGGGAUAACUACGGGAAACUGUAGCUAAUACCGCGUACCAUAGGAUGAGUCCAAGCGGGAUUAGGUAGUGGGUGGGGUAAAGGCUCACCAAGACGACGAUCUCUAGCUGGUCUGAGAGGAUGACCCGCCACACUGGGACUGAGACACGGCCCAGACUCCUACGGGAGGCAGCAGUGGGGAAUAUUGCGCAAUGGGGGCAACCCUGACGCAGCCAUGCCGCGUGUAUGAAGAAGGCCUUAGGGUUGUAAAGUACUUUCAGCGGGGAGGCGUUACCCGCAGAAGAAGCACCGGCUAACUCCGUGCCAGCCGCCGCGGUAAUAC